rnacentral:tRNA from 1 species
AGGAUAAUAGUUAAAUUAACAUUUAAGUUGCAUUUAAAAGAUACUAAAUAUAGUUUAUCUUA